GACAGUUGGUACCCCAGGUAAAAGUGGGC
rnacentral:piRNA from 1 species